AGCGUAGGCGGCCUUGUGUGUCGGAUGUGAAAGCUCACGGCUCAACCGUGGAAUUGCAUCCGAAACUGCAGGGCUAGAGUAUCGGAGAGGUAAGCGGAAUUCUAGGUGUAGCGGUGAAAUGCGUAGAUAUCUAGAGGAACACCAGCGGCGAAGGCGGCUUACUGGACGAAUACUGACGCUGAGGCUCGAAAGCCGGGGUAGCGAAGA
rnacentral:rRNA from 1 species